rnacentral:rRNA from 1 species
UUGCUUCUCUUGAGAGCGGCGGACGGGUGAGUAAUGCCUAGGAAUCUGCCUGGUAGUGGGGGAUAACGUUCGGAAACGGACGCUAAUACCGCAUACGUCCUACGGGAGAAAGCAGGGGACCUUCGGGCCUUGCGCUAUCAGAUGAGCCUAGGUCGGAUUAGCUAGUUGGUGGGGUAAUGGCUCACCAAGGCGACGAUCCGUAACUGGUCUGAGAGGAUGAUCAGUCACACUGGAACUGAGACACGGUCCAGACUCCUACGGGAGGCAGCAGUGGGGAAUAUUGGACAAUGGGCGAAAGCCUGAUCCAGCCAUGCCGCGUGUGUGAAGAAGGUCUUCGGAUUGUAAAGCACUUUAAGUUGGGAGGAAGGGUUGUAGAUUAAUACUCUGCAAUUUUGACGUUACCGACAGAAUAAGCACCGGCUAACUCUGUGCCAGCAGCCGCGGUAAUACAGAGGGUGCAAGCGUUAAUCGGAAUUACUGGGCGUAAAGCGCGCGUAGGUGGUUUGUUAAGUUGGAUGUGAAAUCCCCGGGCUCAACCUGGGAACUGCAUUCAAAACUGACUGACUAGAGUAUGGUAGAGGGUGGUGGAAUUUCCUGUGUAGCGGUGAAAUGCGUAGAUAUAGGAAGGAACACCAGUGGCGAAGGCGACCACCUGGACUAAUACUGACACUGAGGUGCGAA